CUGAGGGGCCUGUCCCCAAACGAACCGCCCCGGACACCUCGCCUGGGCCUCCCCUCCCCCAUCCCCGUCCCUCGCUUCGCCACAGGCGACUCCGGACCGGGAACCCGCCGCUCUGAGACGCCCGAGGACGGGCUCCCGCCGUCCCCACCCGCGGCCCCAGGGGGGUGCCUGAGGAGGGGGACAACAGGAAUUGAAGUGAAACUGGAUUAAACAAGGACAACUUCAAGGUUGGCAGGUGUCAGAGAGGGACUAUUCAUCCCCAGAUAGCCCCCCCGAGGAGUUAACACUGCAUGAGGUGCCCCAUGGCACAGCUGGCAGGAAUUAACAUCUUCUACUUCUCAAAGCCAUGUGGGAUGUCUCUACAAGGACCUCUUGAGAAGAAACGAGCUCCUUGAAUAGAAGCCAAGCAGGAUGGAAGAAAGCUGUGCUAGAAAUCACCGAGCACCUGUUUGGCUUCAAACAGCCGCGCUGCAGCUUAUGCAAACUCCCUGCCUCAGGUGUGGGGAGGGACAAGUGAUGACACAUGGAGCAGACCAUGGGAAGCUGAACUGCAACCAAGAAUGCCAUGUCAUGGGAAUGGCUGCUUACCUCACUAACAUCUGAUCCUGUAACUGUAAAAUAGUGGAAAAAAAGGUGACCCCUGUCCAUUUUCACAUUUCACACCUCCAUUUCUGGCUGCCCACCUGCUUUAGCCACAGGAAGAACUGCAUGAGAGAAGCGAAACAUUUCCCCUUGCAGACUCAGCAUCGGUUAGGGUCUCCUGCAAUCUUCCAGAUGUUUGUUGGUCUAUUUGCAAUAAAUAGUUCGUGCAGGUUGGCAAGAACAGGUGGCAAAAUUUACUGCACUGUAAAUUACUGUAUCAUCACUUUAAACUUUUUUUUUUAUAUUAAAAAUACAGCUGCCAACAUUUGCUGUGCUUUUGGAAAAGUAUCUUAGAGCAAGACACUGCAAACACUCCAGUUUUUCAGAAUUUCUAUCUGUACCAUUUAGACCUCAUAAUCUACAACAAUUUCAUCUCCAUUUUGCUGUAUUUUUUCCUCUCAGAAUAGCUCAUUUUAAAUUCCAGGAGUGUGCCAUCCCCAGGCAGAAGCAUCCCAAGAAGCUCUUAGAUGAAGGCUGAUGCAGAAUGAUAAUUUGUCUCAUUAGGAAUCUUAUUUGCUCCUGGUAAUAUCAGACAAUUUUUUUUGGAGGCUUCAUGGUUCUGAUAUACACAUAAGCCCAACUGAGACUGUGUAAGGAUUUGCUCUUCGCAUUCCAGUACAGCUCAUGGAAUCUUGUAUGCACCAACUGUGAGUGAUCGGUUGCCCUUGUUUGCGAUAGGGCACAUUUCUAAAUUGUGAAGACACGCUUUUGCUCAAACAGCACCUUGAAAAAUUUAAUUUCAGCCAUAUUGAUUUAUUCCUUGCUUUCAUAGUGUCCUUUUGUUCAGUGAUAUUCAUGUCUCCUAAAUUAUAAUUUCUUCCAAUAGCAUUUAAACCAGAUUUUGUUUCUUUUAACUUUAGGACCUAUCAUUUAAUUAGUUUCCUUUUUUUUUUUUUUUUUAAAUCAGCUUUUCUAAAGAUUAGUGGCAAAGCAUCACAUUUUGAUAUUGUCCCUUUUCAACAGUGAAUAUCAUUGUCCUGUGACUCAGCUACCGUUGCUGAGAUGUGUGCAUUGAGAUGCACACAAUGUUUUUAGUGAUGUUCACUCAUUCUAAGAGUAUCAAUUUCAAAGUAGAUUAAAAUACAGUAAGAUGCCACAUAAUUAAAAAAAUCUGUAUCCAGAGAAAAAGAAGAGCAUUUUAAAGCACAUUGACAAGUAUUAAGAACAAUUGGUUUUCCUGGGGGUGAUUUAGAGCUCCUAGUUGCUCCAUGGGGUAAUAUUAAAAUUGACAAAUUUCCCCUAAAGUAGGGGACCCGAGCCAUACGGGUUUGCAGUACAGCACCCCUGAAGUAUUUUCUUUCUCCAGGAAAUUGCUCAUUGGAUGGUUCUGAUUUCAGAAUCUACUUCCUUUAGGUCCAAAUUUAUAAAGGUUUUAAAACAGCUCCUCUCCAAGUUUUCACCCUUCACAUAAAAAGCACAUCCAUUUAAUAAAUAAUAUCCAAAUGCAAGUACUUGUAUUCAGGGGCUGUUAAAGACGAUGAAGAAACAUGACAUUCACAAAGCACGAGUUUAGUUCAGUGAAGCUCAGCUUCCGUGCGCCCUUUGCAGUUCCUGGAGAGAGGCCAGGUCCUCCAGAGGAUGUUUCAGAGCAGCUACCUGGUGUCUGAAAUCGCAUGAGGAAAAACCCAGACCUUUCUCUGCAUUAAUUAUAGGAUACCCCUCCUCCCAGCUUUUCAAACCUGUGUGUCUGAAUUGGGGCCAACAUAAAGCCUACAUUUGCAAGGUGCAGUGUCCGUGCUCCCGCAGCCUGCUGCCUUCCCUCUUACUUCCACCACCUGGUCAGCGUGGUAAGGCAGGCCACCCUCAGCCAGGGGCAGAAGAGGAAAGGACAAGCUUCCCAUCGGCUACGCAGGUGUGGAAAAACAUGGCUUUUUGCUUUUCAGGACAUGAAGAUUUCUUUCAAAACCAUGCAGGUGGGUGCACUGUUAAGCAGCUUCCCUGCGGAGGCCAGUGUGCAGGAGCAGCAGCGUGGCUCCCGAGGACGGCGAGCAGAGCUCUGUGCUAGGGCACUCCGGUUAAUGACCUGAAAACGUUAUAAACUAAGCCAAUACCAGCCUAAUGGGAAAUCAGUCUCUGCAUAUGUUGCAUAAUUUUUAUAUUAUUAAACCAACUAGGAACUGUUUAAUCAACAAAGCCAGCAGGAAACCUUCAAAUAGCAGGAGAGCUGAGAGACAUGCACUUGUUUGCCGAUUAAUUUUGUGCAUGCCAAAGGCUCUCAGGUUCCCUGUCCUGAACAGGGCUUUCCAUUUCUUGUCGGGCAACAUCUUCAGUUUCUCUAGGAGGAGUUUCUGUGGUCAGCUGGGGGCUAAGUGUGUCUACAUCCAUUGCUUUCAUCUUCAUGCUUCCCUUGUGACCAGCCGCGUUACAGGAGCAGCUUGCACUUGUACUUACCCUUGUGUAUCCUUUUUGAGACAUGUUAAAUCCAUUUUUGAGACUUCUGCAAUGUGCAAUGUAUUCAUCUUUAUUCCACAUAAGAUUCAGACGUGAUGUUGGAGAUUUUUAGAAAAAUGAAUUUUAUUUAGUUUUUGUAUAUAUUUCUGUUUGGAGGAAGAGUUAAAAAAAGUCAGAACUGCUAAGUUUAACUGAUAGAUUGGCAGCAGAUUAACUAAACUGUGUGUGAGUAAUGCUGACAGGCAGGUUGCAAAUACCAUACAGCUACUAAAAGAAACUAAACCUUCUAAUGCUAAAACUACGAUGGAUUCCUUACAAGACAAGGUCAAUCUAAACAUGUAAACAGCUCUUUCCACCUAAGGUUGAGAAAUCAGAACAUGAGAAAUUAUUUAAGACAGUUUUGUAAAGCCUUUAAGUUAAGACAAACAAAAACAGACUAUAAAAUUGAAGAGGCUGAUUCUUCAACCCUGAUGGACAAGUCUUCCCUGGUCUUCAAAGUAGUUCUUCCCAGCUAUACUUUCAGGAUAGCUUGUGAGAAUGUUUCAUAACUGUAUUUUAACUCCUAUUCAAUAAUUUAAUUUCUUUUUUUUACUACAAAGUUAAUUUAAAAAUGCGCGUAUCUCUUCUCAUUUUCCUCUGAACUUGACACCAAAGCUCUUGCUAAAAAAUAAAACCUGAAAACCCAUUUUUAGUAACUUGCUGCCAAAAGCAGAUACUGCUGAUUGCACAAACCCAGAUACAAAUGAGCAAUGAGGAAUUAAACUUCUAGAUACACUAAAGCUAAAUGAAUUGAUGCUUCCAAAAGAAAACCAAACAGCUUGUAGGAAGCAAGUAAUUCGUAAACGAAAGAAACCACAAAAGCAAUAAAGAACAUCACAAACCCAUUAACAUUACACAGGAUAAAAAUGUUAAAGAAUAAUCUCCAUUCCAAAGUAAAAAUGAUUUGCCAAAAUAUUAACAGCAACAAGUAAAGGCAGCCUUGCAUUAAGGGCAGAGCUGGAACUAAGCACAUGUCGGGUGAACACAGACUUUUGUGAUACAGAUGCAUCUUGCUCGAUUGUGUCUUUUACUAUUUGGUGUUGUGAAGCUGGCUGGGGUACUUCGAUGCCAGUCCCACCACCCCGCCUUUGCUCCCGUUAGCUCUUUCUCAUAGCUCCCAUCACCAGAAGCAGCAAGCAACUUCCAAACACACAAAGUAAACCAGCUACCUGAUUUCCUGGUGCCCCCUGAGUGGGGCAUAUGUUAAGUUUGAUGGGGCGAGGCUGAGGCACUUACUGCAUUUUAUUUUAUUCUGAUGGUUUCCUGGGGAACUAAAGGAUCCUUGGUGGUUACCAGUGCCUGAUCUUCUAGACAGGUCUCAGGACACCUGCACAGACAUGCUCUUGUUCUGGUGGGUGACUCUGGGUGCACUCCACAGAUGACAAGAGUACAAGCAUUUUCUCUGUAACACAAUUUAAAGCUGCAAGUGAAGGCCGUGGAGGGAAGAGUGGCACACUGCUGCUUUGCUACCUUCUCACUCUAUUUCCCUACAUGAGACCACCGGACUGAGGCUCAGGUGGGAGGACCCCUCCUCAGCACAAGCUUGCCUGGCAAGUACUGACAUACCAAAUACAUUCUCUGUAAUCUCAGUACUCCUUAGGUGGCAUCUUUAUGGCUUCCUAAUGCAGUGUCUCCUGUCCCUCAUCUGAGUGAGGGCUGCUCUGGUAUCUAUCAUGGAAGGUUCCCCUCUUCUCAAGGCUCCCCCAUUCAAACCCCAAAGAAAUGACAACCAAACGCCUCCUGUUGAGCUUAUAUACAACUUUGAGAAUAACACGGCUAGUGUCAUGCUUAAAAGGGAUGGAUACUUCCUCACAGAGUGGUGACGUUUCUUGGAGACAUUUCCCCAGUCCCUCUUUUGAGUCUGUUAUCACAAACCCAUCUUGGAAGGUCAAGCUUUCACCACAGCCAAGACAAGUCAGACAACUGGGAGGGGGAAAGAGGAAGAAUCUUGAGAGCUUUAUGGGUAAGUCUAUCUCCUGUAUAAAGUGGCCAGCCAGGAAGGCUGAUCUGGACCUGGGACUAUCAGCUCCUAAGGCUGUAAGAAAGAAAAAACAUGUAACAUGCACACAUGUAUAUACACAGAUGUGCACUGUGUUAUAGCUAAAAAUUAUUAAUCUAUAGUUGCUAAAUGUUAAUUUUGAUGUGUUCCUUGCUUUACUGUUUAAGAUCUUAUGUCUAACUUUAAAGUUUGGAAUAAUAAACAUUUUUAUUUACUUUUCAUUGGACUUAUUUUUCCCCAACACUUAUUACGAUCUUGAAUUCCUGAGAUACUGCAGCAUUCCCUGUCACAACGUUUACUAAGAUAAAGAAACUAUUUGUUACACAUUCACCUUCUGCAGUACAAUUAAAGCAACACAGUUAUGAUUCAAAUUGUAGUUACUGCUGUUUAUGAUAGAAUGAGGAUUUCUGCUUCUCACUUAUACUCUUUGUUGAAGAGGUCUGAGAGACUCUGCACAUUCAUAGAUCCAUGUACAACUUUUAAAGAUUAUAUCAACAGUCUUAUAUUUCCAGUUUAAUAUUAUCAUCAUGAAGGUAGACAAACCAAACAUCCACACAGGAUCUGGUGGAAUCAUCCACCAGGAACUAGCACAUGAGCAGUUCACAGUAAUGAGGGCACGGACCACGUGAAUUUUCCUUUCUGAUUUAGGAUAACUUGAUUUGCAUGGAUUGUGCAAGUGGUUUCGUGUUUUGGACCUCUGUCCCUGCCAGGGAAAGAGAACUGCCGUGUUAGUGGCUAACAUGGCUAAGAGCGGACAUCUCAGAUGCCCGCUCUUCCAACAGGAGAUGAUAUUGCUGUGACGUUCCUGCCAGUGGCCACUAUUAAGCCUGGUGUAUCCUGUACGCUACAGUGCAGGGUCAGACUCCACAGAGGAGUAAACAACACUAUUCCCUAGAACAAAAGUACUUCUGUAUGGAGGUCAAAAGCGAUAACAGUUCUGUAAACCAAACCGAUUGCACUAGAACGAUAUAAAAUUAUUGCAUUAGAAACUGGGUUCAUUAAAGUUUAACGAUAGUAAAAAAAAA